UUGCACACACAUACAGAUGUGUAUAUAUAUAUAUAUGUAUAAUUUUAUUUCAAUAUGCUUGGAUUAACUGAACUAUUGAAUUUCAAUCUGUUGUGUUCUUUCCAUUAAAUAGUCUUCCUAUUGAGUUUGUUGGAGCUGAAUGAAAAUGGUGUAUUUAAGGCUGAUCAUAAUCUUUGCCAUCAUGUUUUUCUUAAUAUGGUUUUUCCAGAUUAAAAGCAAUGACAAGAUAAUGCCUGUUGAAAUAUAAAGGUCUUUGCUUUGUGGCUUUGCUGCUAGAGGGGAUGGCUGAGCUGCCCCCCUGGGACACCACAUCACUUGUGUCUCACAGAAUAUUCUGGGCUGGAAGGGACCCACGAGGAUCAUCAAGUCCAACUCUCAAAUUGCCCUGAAAGAGCAGAACUACUCCAGCAGCAAGAUUUGGGGGAUAUCAGACUGUGACAAACCCCAUCCACUCUGUCCUUCAGCAUCAGCAAAGCUCUUAGUUCAUCUGGCACUUUUUAUUGCUCUGGAGUCCCUUUUCUGUCUCCCAGGUGACCUGUGAGAAACCCCAAAAAUGUGAUCCCCACGUGUGCUCCAGUGCAAAGGGGAAUCCUAGAGUGCACUGGUUUGUAGCUUGUUUUUGCUGCAGGAUGAACAAUCCCCUCACCUUCCUCUAUUAGCAAGUCACUGCUCCUAUUUAGAGUUCCAGGAUAUGAGCAAGCCUGCUUGUGUCUUGGAGUGGCAUUUGUAACUCUGUGGUUGUCCUUAUUUCUCUUCAAAUAGAUCAAAAGGCUGACAGGAAGCGCUCAAACAGAAGCACAAGAGUUGCAUGAGCUACUUUUGCAGGCCCAGAUGUGAGAGUGUGGUGAACAAUUUCUUCUGCUAACUUCUGUUUUUCUAGUAGUAAGUUCUUAAUGGCCUUACAAGGUUUUAAAUUGGUCAACCUUACCUUGUUAUCAUCUAACUAUUAGUGUAAUGGAAAGUUUAAAAAUAUAGGUGUGUUAAAGUGUGUGGUAUAUAAGAUCUAAGAAACAUGCAAAAAGAAUCAAUAAUUGUGUGUUUUAUAAUUUAAGAGAAAAUAAUAUUCUCUCAGAUGACUGUGGCUACAAGAAAUGAAGGUCAGCUGUACUUAAGAUCAUUUUUUUCUGAGGCUGCUGUUGCAGGUUUUAAUACCUUUAGUGCCUUCUGAUUAAAGGCAUUUUAUUGUGGAGUGUUUCUAUUAUUUUUUUGUUUCCAGUGAGAGCUUUUUGAUAGAAUCCCUGAAAGAGGACUUGUAUUUGUAGGGAGUCUGAACACAUGGAAUUUGAAUCCUAGUUAAUAGUGAAUUCUCUACAGCAGGAAGGAAAAGCUUAUGAAUAUUUUCCUUGGCUCUGAAAGUGGGAGCUGACACUAGUUUGUAUUGGAGAAUUUUAACUAAUGAUUAUGACAAUACUUAUCUGCUAAUUUGUUUUUCCAUGUCUGGAAUCAGUAUGCUAAAUAUGUGUGAAAUUUUUGGAGCUCAUGCUAAAAUUUCAACUGGCCAAAUACUUAUCUGCAUUUCACUAUUAUUGAAAUAAUGAUAGUAAUAAUAAUAAAUAAUAGUAAACACAGUAACUGUUUCUUUUU
ensembl:lncRNA